GAUUUUCCAAUUCUGGACCAUGCUCCCGGCAGCAACGGCAGGGAACUGCAGGACUGUUGGAGUUGGCAUCCACCAAGGUCCCACUACAAGAUGAUGCCAGCUGAAGGCACUUCACCACCAGCCAGCUGCAUUUGUUGUCCUGGAUGUCAGUACCAAUCUUGCCAGUCACACUUGGGUCACCAAAAAGGUCAAGGUGAGCUUGGGAUUAAUUUGUAAUAUGACCUGGGGAAAACCACUUGGGGAGCUUGAAAAAAGGAUCUUGCCUGCCCAGACCCAAGAAUCCAAGCCUCAAGGAUGGUCAUGCCCAUGCCAAGUGGGAACACUAGAAUUACUUGAGGGGAUGGAUGGGGAAGGAUCCUUGAAGAUCAUUUAGUCCAACUUCCUUCAUCUUGCACAAGAGAAAACCAAGAUCCAGAAAGAAGAAUGCACUGGGGCCAGCACGAGAACCCAGUUCUUCUGACUCUAAGGUCAGUGCAGUCUGACACCCACUGCCUG